rnacentral:piRNA from 1 species
ACGGGACUCAGCAGUGAUAAAAAU